rnacentral:lncRNA from 1 species
AGAGUCUGAGAUUUUCAUGGUUUUCACAAACAGUGCAAUUUUUUUCUGUUUUUUUAGGUGUUGGAUAUGUACCCUGCCUCAAAAGAUCUUUAGUGCUCUUCCAGCUACAGGGCAUAAGCCAUGCUGAAGAUAUCCUCCUUUUUGGCAUAAAGCCCUACUCAUGUUCUGAGGAGAGUUCUAGAGCAGUAUAUCCAUGCAGACCGCAGACCUCAUCCCUCCCCAGUUCUGGCCAACCAAAGAUCACUUCUAGAAUGACAUGAGAGGCUAGUAUCAGCAUGUGCGUGCAGGUGACUAUCUGGGAAGAAUUAUUGCAAGCAUCGUUAUAUUAUUUUGCUCAAAUGUAAUUAGCUAAGUUGCAUAAAUUUCAUCCCAAGGCCAUUAAAUGAACCACGAUGCUUCCACAAAUGUGUUAGACAUUUAGUGAGCUGCUCAAUGACACCUAGAAAAUUCUCAGGAUUUUUUUCUGUUAAUCUGUAAACAAAAUCAUUUAGUAUUGUCAGUCUGUAUUUAUCAAAAAGGGGGGAAAAAAACAGGAAAAAUAGCUCUCAUAUAUUGCCCUACUUAUGCAAAUGGUGCAUCUGGUACUUUUUGAAGUAUUGCCAGUGGUGAUUUCAAAACAGGCUUAAACACCUGCAGUCAACUGUUGGCAAGAUCAGUCAAGACCAUGUCCUGCCAUGGUUCAAUCUUUAUGGCAUUUUGGGAGAAAGCAAGCAAACACCCCACCUAUACAUACACAGGUAUAAAAAAUAUUAUCUGAAGAGAUAUAAUUAAGUGCAGUUUAUGACUUAUAAUGUGAUCAAAGUUGCUCUUGUGGAACAUUCAGAUCAACAAAAUCUUUUGUUUUCAAAAUUUUCCCUUGGCAAUCUCCAGGUAUAACAAAUAGUACAGGACACAAUGUUUUUCUUCUAGUUAUUUGUUGAGUACAAAAGAGGAAAAAAAUAGAGAAUUGUAUAGAUAAAGGCCCUGUAAGGUACUGUGUUUAAAAGGAAAUAGGCAAAAGAGAACAAACCAGCCAUAUUCCUACCCUGUCGCACCUCCCCAGAACAAAACAGAAAGAAACAAAAAUAAAUAACCAACCACAAGCCUUGUAGCA